rnacentral:lncRNA from 1 species
AAAAAGUAAAUGGACUUGCCACAGUGUACAGGCAAGAGGAGGGGAGGAUUUUCCUAGAUCAAUUACUGAGCCAGUUGAUUUUUUUUUUUUUGCCUUAACGUAGGUAUUUUGACCAAGAUUUGUAAUGUCUAGUAUAUGUUCUUUAUGGCAGUGUUUCAUCUUUUGGCAUCCUUGAAAUGUCAGUUUUGUGUAAUUGUCUCAUGAACAAUGAAUUAUGCACAUCCUUUAAUAAAUGUAAACUAACAAUUGGUUUUGGGAUUGUCUUCUUAUAAAAUUAUUUAUCCUCUUAAAGUUUAAAAAGGCUUUAGAGACAGAGGAAAAUGCAUUUGAUUAAACAGAUAGUACUGAUGAACUCCAAAAA